GUAGCGACGGCGGGCCGUAGGGCGACCGGGAGGUUUCCGGUUCCGGUGUAACGUUCGGGCUCCGUCUCAGGGGCUGAAGUUUGUGAGGUAUAGUUUCUCAUCUCCUUUCCCCCAAAAUGGCGCUGUCUAAGCGGGAGCUGGACGAGCUGAAACCAUGGAUAGAGAAGACGGUGAAGAGAGUGCUAGGCUUCUCGGAGCCCACGGUGGUCACCGCGGCAUUGAACUGUGUGGGGAAGGGCAUGGACAAGAAGAAGGCAGCAGAUCACCUGAAACCUUUUCUUGAUGAUUCUACUCUCCGAUUUGUGGAUAAGCUGUUUGAGGCUGUGGAGGAAGGCCGAAGCUCCAGACAUUCCAAGUCUAGCAGUGACAGAAGCAGAAAACGAGAGUUAAAGGAGGUGUUUGGCGAUGACUCUGAGAUCUCAAAAGAAUCAUCAGGGGUAAAGAAGCGGCGAAUACCCCGUUUUGAGGAAGUAGAAGAGGAGCCAGAGGUUAUCCCUGGGCCUCCAUCAGAAAGCCCUGGCAUGCUGACAAAGCUCCAGAUCAAACAGAUGAUGGAGGCAGCAACACGGCAAAUCGAGGAACGGAAAAAACAACUGAGCUUCAUUAGCCCCCCUACACCUCAGCCAAAGACACCUUCUUCUUCCCAACCAGAGCGACUUCCGAUUGGCAACACUAUUCAGCCCUCCCAGGCCGCUACGUUUAUGAAUGAUGCCAUCGAGAAGGCAAGGAAAGCAGCUGAGCUGCAAGCACGAAUCCAAGCCCAGCUGGCUUUGAAACCAGGGCUGAUUGGCAAUGCCAACAUGGUGGGCCUGGCUAAUCUCCAUGCCAUGGGCAUAGCUCCACCGAAAGUAGAGUUAAAAGAUCAGACUAAACCCACACCGCUGAUCCUAGAUGAGCAAGGUCGCACUGUAGAUGCGACAGGCAAGGAGAUCGAGCUGACACAUCGGAUGCCCACCCUAAAGGCAAAUAUUCGAGCUGUGAAAAGGGAACAAUUCAAGCAGCAGCUGAAAGAAAAGCCAUCAGAGGACAUGGAAUCUAAUACCUUUUUUGACCCCCGAGUUUCAAUUGCCCCUUCCCAGCGCCAAAGACGCACUUUUAAAUUCCACGACAAGGGCAAAUUUGAAAAGAUUGCUCAACGAUUACGGACAAAGGCUCAAUUGGAGAAGCUGCAAGCAGAGAUUUCACAGGCUGCUAGAAAAACAGGCAUUCACACUUCUACUAGGCUUGCCCUUAUUGCUCCUAAGAAAGAGCUAAAGGAAGGCGAUAUCCCUGAAAUUGAGUGGUGGGACUCCUACAUCAUACCCAAUGGCUUUGACCUUACAGAGCAAAAUCCCAAGAGAGAAGAUUAUUUUGGAAUCACAAAUCUUGUUGAACAUCCAGCCCAGCUUAACCCUCCAGUCGACAAUGACACACCAGUUACCCUUGGCGUAUAUCUUACAAAAAAGGAACAGAAGAAACUUCGGAGGCAAACAAGGAGAGAGGCACAGAAGGAGCUACAGGAGAAAGUCAGGCUAGGUCUGAUGCCUCCUCCAGAACCCAAAGUGAGAAUCUCAAAUUUAAUGCGAGUAUUAGGAACAGAAGCAGUCCAAGACCCUACAAAGGUAGAAGCCCACGUCAGAGCUCAGAUGGCAAAGAGACAGAACCCUGCCUCUGACCUGCAAUGCCUUUCUCACUUGUGGAUGUCCUUCCUGUCACGACAGAGCGCACGAAGAGGCCAACGCUGCCAGAAAACUUACAGCAGAACAAAGAAAGGUCAAGAAAAUUAAAAAGCUUAAAGAAGACAUUUCACAGGGGGUGCACAUAUCUGUGUAUAGAGUUCGAAAUUUGAGCAACCCAGCCAAGAAGUUCAAGAUUGAGGCCAAUGCUGGGCAGCUGUACCUGACAGGGGUGGUGGUACUGCACAAGGAUGUCAACGUGGUGGUAGUGGAAGGGGGCCCCAAGGCCCAGAAGAAAUUUAAGCGUCUCAUGCUACAUCGGAUAAAGUGGGAUGAGCAGACAUCCAACACGAAGGGAGAUGAUGAUGAGGAGUCUGAUGAAGAAGCUGUGAAGAAAACCAACAAAUGUGUGCUGGUGUGGGAGGGUACAGCCAAAGACCGGAGCUUUGGAGAGAUGAAGUUUAAACAGUGUCCGACAGAGAACAUGGCUCGUGAGCAUUUCAAAAAGCAUGGGGCCGAACACUACUGGGACCUUGCACUGAGUGAAUCUGUGUUGGAGUCCACUGACUGAGACUACUGCUAGCCCUGUGUCUCCUUUGCCUUCGUCUCUUCCGUCUUCUCACUCUGAUUCCCCACCUUCCCCACCGUGUGAUCUCAGAACUGUGCCAGGCAGCCUGGUGCUACCCUUCAUCCUGUAUGUGCAUAUGAUUAAAGAGUUAUUUU